rnacentral:rRNA from 1 species
GAUGAACGCUGGCGGCGUGCCUAAUACAUGCAAGUCGAGCGAACAGACGAGGAGCUUGCUCCUCUGACGUUAGCGGCGGACGGGUGAGUAACACGUGGAUAACCUACCUAUAAGACUGGGAUAACUUCGGGAAACCGGAGCUAAUACCGGAUAAUAUAUUGAACCGCAUGGUUCAAUAGUGAAAGACGGUUUUGCUGUCACUUAUAGAUGGAUCCGCGCCGCAUUAGCUAGUUGGUAAGGUAACGGCUUACCAAGGCAACGAUGCGUAGCCGACCUGAGAGGGUGGUCGGCCACACUGGAACUGAGACACGGUCCAGACUCCUACGGGAGGCAGCAGUAGGGAAUCGUCCGCAAUGGGCGAAAGCCUGACGGAGCAACGCCGCGUGAGUGAUGGAGGUCUUCGGAUCGUAAAACUCUGUUAUUAGGGAAGAACAAAUGUGCAAGUAACUAUGCACGUAUUGACGGUACCUAAUCAGAAAGCCACGGCUAACUACGUG